GUGCUCGCUUCAGCAGCACAUAUGCUAAAACUGGACCAAUACAGAGAAGAUUGGCAUGGUCCCUACACAAGGAUGACACACAAAUUCAUGAAGCGUUCCAUAUUUUU
rnacentral:snRNA from 1 species